AGAAAGAUGUUGCUAUGAAGAGAACAGAAAAUAAGUUAUUUCUCUUUCUGGUUGUUUGAAAUAUCGUGUACCACGGGGGAAACAAUCUUCUUGAGAGAUAGUCUAGUAAAAUGUUAAAUUUAGGGGAAUGAAGAGAGACAUUAUCAUUGGGGUUGAUAGAAUGCAGGGAUUAUCAGCUAUUUUAGACAGCGAUACUUUUACAAAUACUGAAGUCGGUUCCAUAUAGGAGGUGAAGCCCUGUAUGGAAAUCAGAGAUAAAGGAAUAAACCUGCCACCGAGCAAGAUUUACUAUACUGCCAGGCAAGGAACUCAAAGGUCACUCCUGAAUUAAGUUACCUUUGUAUGACUUUCUGUUCUGGGUGUGGAAAUCCAGAGACUGGUGAAAUCCAUUAAAGCAUGGCUGACAGCGAGAGGGGUUCAUUAAUUCCAAAGUGGGAGGAGGUUUUGCUUUCUGUUAACGCCCUGUGGGAAUUCCACGGCUAUGGUUUGGUUCCUGGAGCCAAAUGGAGCAUUAAAAUAGAAGCCGGCUGUGGGAAUAAAAGCGGGGACUAGACCUUCUGCCUAAAAAUAGUCAAUGCCUGAGCAGGCUGAGUGAUAGCCGGUCAGAAAUCACAGUGGUCACAGCAUGUAGGUUCCAUGAUAAUGACACGGAGAGAGAAGCUGGCAACCGUGGUCACGUAUCCAGUAUGAGGUGCAACAAAGCCUGGUGAUGCCACCCCAGGAGCGGCACCAGCAGGAAAUGCUGUGGCUUUUCUUCAAGGCUUCAGGAAGCACAUGGCCAAGGACAGCCACCUCCUAUCAAGGAGCGUCUCGUUAACGACUAAUAUCCGAUUCACGAUAGCACACAACCUUCGUUUUCAGCUGCAAGUAGAAAGUAGGCUGUUCUUAGAAGCUGGUCUAGCACUUAGAAGUCACACUUCACCAAGCGAGGGAUUCGAAGGUGGUCUGUCAGUGACAGGAUUCCUCUGCCCUCGCAGAAGGUGCAACCCUAGUCUUCAAAGUAUGCGGCAGAGACUGCCCGUCCGCUCCUCAGAGCAAAAAGCUUCCAGGCUGCAGACCCAUCUCUCUGACAGUUGGUCUCUGUGUCUGCGGUCUGCGUUUGUGCGUGCCUGCAGAACUUGAUGAAAGCACACGUACCCGUCAUCUUUCAACAUCAACUCCACUGUAUAUCCAUGCUAGGCAAUAUUUUGAGUGGAUCAUUCAAGACUCUUUUUUUUUUCACAUGCAUAUGCAAAUAAAUGUAGAUGUGCACAAAUGCUCGUUUACUUUUAAAAAUAAAGCUAUACACUAGGGUAUAUUCUAUGUAUCGCCCCCCUUCAUAAUGACCCAUAGCUGUCAUUUCAUGCCAGUAACACAUAUCCACCUGAUAAUUUUAAGUCCUCUUAUAGAUGAUACAUAUUUAUUGACUAGCUGUGCUGGUUAAUUUAGUGCCAGCUUGACACAAACCAGAGUUACCUUGGAGGAGGGACUCUCAGUUGAGGAACGGUGUCCAUCAGGCUGGUCUGUGGGCAAGUCUG
rnacentral:lncRNA from 1 species